GCCAAAAAAAAAAAAAUCAGUAUUUUGUGACUUUCUUUCUAUUUAUAUUGCUGGCACCAUAUACUCUUAAAAUCUUCAUUUCUCACCCUGUAAUAUCUGUCUUCUUUUCCUCUUUCUCUGUAAACAAAAUUUGAUUUUUUUGUUGCAUUUAUACAAUAGAAAUUUAUACAGAUAUUUGUUUAACUGAAUUUGCGUGUAAAAAAACGGAUUGAGAUCUUUAUAAGAAAGGACACAAUUGAGAGAAAAAGGACAUAUUAUUUGAGGGGUAAGGCAAAUAGAGGAGAAGAAGAGGAUGAAAUUGACCUCCUCUAUUCUUAUUCUUAUUGUGCCUCCUCUCAGAUCUUAGUUUUUAGCAAGAUUUGGCAUUUGGGUUUCGUUUGAUUGGUGAAGUUAAAUUCUGGGUUGGUCUGUUGAUUGAUCGCGGAAGGAUCUGUUUGUUUCUAAAUUUUGAAUCAGAGAGAAAAUUUUCAUUCUGUAUCGGAUUACACUUUCGUUGUUAAAAUAAAAGAAAAAAUGUCUGAAAAUGGUAAGCUUUUUAUUGGUGGGAUAUCUUGGGACACCAAUGAAGAGAGUCUCAAGGAGUAUUUCAGUAGUUUUGGUGAAGUGGUAGAGGCAGUGAUCAUGAAGGAUCGGACCACAGGGCGUGCCCGUGGUUUUGGUUUCGUUGUUUUCGCUGACCCAGCUAUUGCUGAGAGAGUCAUCAAGGAGAAACACAACAUUGAUGGCAGGAUGGUUGAGGCAAAAAAAGCAGUUCCUAGGGAUGACCAGAACAUUAUGAGUAGAAGCACUAGUAACAUCCAUGGUUCACCUGGUCCAGGCCGUACAAGAAAGAUUUUUGUAGGAGGUUUAGCAUCUACAGUCACAGAGAGUGAUUUUAAGAAGUAUUUUGAUCAGUUUGGGAAUAUCACAGAUGUUGUGGUGAUGUAUGAUCACAACACCCAAAGGCCUAGGGGUUUUGGAUUCAUCACUUAUGAUUCAGAAGAAGUGGUGGAUAAAGUGUUGCUAAAAGAUUUCCAUGAACUGAAUGGUAAAAUGGUUGAGGUUAAACGAGCAGUUCCCAAAGAGUUAUCACCUGGUCCCAGUCGUAGCCCCCUUGGUGGAUAUAACUAUGGUCUGAAUAGGGUCAACAGCUUUCUUAAUGGCUACACUCCGGGAUAUACACCUAGCAGUGUUGGAGGAUAUGGACUUAGGAUGGAUGGUAGAUUCAGUCCAGUUGCUGGUGGUCGAAGUGGUUUUCCUCCUUUUGGUUCUGGUUAUGGAAUGGGCAUGAACUUUGAGCCAGGGUUAAACCCAAGUUUUGGAAAUAGUGCAAAUUUUAGUAGUAAUAUGAACCAUGGACGGGGAUUGAGCCCUUACUAUAUUGGUAAUACAAAUAGAUUUGCUAGUCCUAUUGGGUAUGAUGGAAGUAGUGGAGGUAAUACUUCCUUUUUCAGCUCAGUGACCCGGAACCUUUGGGGAAAUGGGGGACUCAAUCAUAACACAAAUUCUGCUGGUUCCAGUGCAUAUAUGGGAUCUGGAAGUGGGAGUAUGGGAGGAAGCGCCUUUGGAAACAGUGGAAUUAAUUGGGGUUCUUCUGCAAUUUUCAGUCAAGGUGAGGGGAAUAAUGUUUCUAGCAAUAGUGUGAAUUUUGGCUAUGGAAGUGGUAAUAACAGCUUUGGGUUGGGGACAGCAGGGUAUGGAAGAAACAGUGUGACCAAUGUGGUGCCAACAUCAUCAUAUGCAGCAUCAAAUGGUGGUUAUGAUGAAGCCUCUGCAGACCUUUAUGGUGGUGCUUCAGUAUAUGGGGAUACCACUUGGCGAUCAUCAACAUCUGAGCAAGAUGGUUCUGGUUCCUUUGGCUAUGGACUUGGUAGUGCCACUUCUGAUGUUUCGGAUAAAAGUUUUCCUGGUUAUGUUGGUGGUUAUAGCGUUAAUAAGAGACAAGCAAAUAGAGGAAUUGCUACGUAGAAGGUUAUUUUGGUUAUCACAAUACUGUAGGUGAAGAUAAUCUUGUGAAACAGGUUGAAACUUCCUUUGUGAAAUACUGAAAUGGACGAUUUGAAUUGAUUUUUUGUCUAAUACCUUUUUUUUUCCUUGCAAUACUCAGACUAAAUAUGCAAGCCAUGUUCGUAAUUUGUGCAUAAUGCAAAAAGUUUGGUAAACAACAUGGAAUCCACAAUGUUUUGGACAUUCAGAUUGCAUUGCUUGAGCUUAUUUUUAUUUCUGCUGUUUAUGAUAUUAAAUCUAUCUUGCGAAAUUGCAUUGACUCUUUUGUAUGUAAUAGCCAUUAAUUAGAAUAGGACGCUUCAAGUUGCUCUCAUUAGGCUGUGAGCAUCAUCAUGUGGUCAAAUCUUGCAUUCCUUGUUUUAAUCACUUUUUUCAUUUUCGUUUCCAUUCACAUGCCUUGUUUGGUCCAUGCAUACAAACUCCUUUGUGUGAUCACCGCCAAUCUGGGGUUUGCUAGCUGAAUGCAGAGUUCAGACCUCGCCCUCUAUUGUAAGCUUAGCCUAUUCACUCAUAGUUCCCUUCCAUGUUUUUUUGGGCUCAUGAACGGGGGUGGAUGUGCACAGCUUCCCAUUUUCCCACUCUUAUGUUUCAAUUGGGGAUGGAAAUUUUUUUUUUUCUGUACAUAAGAAGCCACAGCUUAAAAAUAAGAAAAAAAUAUUGCAAAUGUUAGGAUUUGAACUUUAGACGUGAUGAAUGUCAUUUUUUAAAGGGUAUUAUAUGAAUCAAUUCAACUAAGCUUUAGAUUAAAAAAAAUCAGAUGAUUGGCUCUUACUGAAAAUUGCUCGAUCAAUUUCUCCAAAGACCUGAGUCCGUGCAUCGUCGUAUCCUCUCCAUUUUUGUCUUUUUGGGAUAAUUCUGAAGCAUUGCAAGAAUCCAACAUCCUAACCACUUGUUGAUCAUAUGCCUGUCCAAGCAUGUCACAGCAUGAUGCUUAAAUUACUCAAGGUUAGCCAUCUGAGAGUCUUUGGUCUAUAACUCAAUCCCUGUUGCCACCAAGCCUGUCUGGAUAAAAAUCACUCAAUGCAUGCCUUGGAGGUGUAGCAUGAUACAAGUUGCUGCCUCCUGCAUUAUGUUAUGAUAGGGACACCUUAAAGGGAAACAAUUUAG